UUUGUACUCCCUACAUUCAAAAAUACUUGUCAUUAAAAUGAAUAAAAGAGGAUGCAUUUAGAACGAUUUGUCAUUAAAAUGAAUAAAAGGAGAUGUAUCUAGACUAGAUACAUUCCCUUUUAUUCAUUUUGAUGACAAGUAUUUUCGGACGGAGGGAGUAAAAA
rfam:Triticum aestivum genome assembly, contig: Triticum_aestivum_CS42_TGACv1_scaffold_603576_7DL